UACGAAGGGGGCUAGCGUUGUUCGGAUUUACUGGGCGUAAAGCGCGUGUAGGCGGGUCGUUAAGUUGGGGGUGAAAUCCCGAGGCUCAACCUCGGAACUGCCUUCAAAACUGGCGACCUGGACUCAAGUAGAGGCAAGUGGAAUUGCGAGUGUAGAGGUGAAAUUCGUAGAUAUUGGGAGGAACACCAGUGGCGAAGGCGGCUCGCUGGACCGGUUCUGACGCUGAGGCGCGAAAGCGUGGGGAGCAAACGGG
rnacentral:rRNA from 1 species